ACUGCACCAAAAUUCCCUAUUCUCUCAAAAGCUCUCUAAAGCCACUCGAAACCCUAGCCGCCUGUCAUCAUCUUCGACCAAACCCACCGGCGUCCAUGGCUUCCCAGGACAUGGACAUCCUAUAUCCUCUUACCUUCACCCCAAACCAUGGUUUUUUGAAGUUUUCGAGGUCCGAUCUUCAACAGAAACCCUAAAAAAAGCUUGUUCGAGGUUCUAUAUUUCCUUGUUUUAUUAGAUCUAUAACCGAUCUGUGUUCUACUCAAUGUUUUAAGGACUUUGCCCAAUAUUUCCUUUUAAAAUCAGUCUGUUCAAAAUUAGGGUUUUCAAAAAUCCUAUGACGAUUCUUCUUCUUUUUCUUUCUUUGUGUGAAUAUGUGUGUCCAUGUCAUACUUAUGUAUUUUCGUUCGUUUUUAUGCAUGUGUUUACUCCUUUAUUGGUUCUACUUGUUUGAUUCACACGUUUAUCUUGCAUGACCUUCUACUGUUUCUCCUACUAAGAUUAUUUGCCUUUAAUGGAAUCAUUUGGUUUCUAAUCUUGCUUCUUUUACUACUUCCUAAAUUUCUAUGGCAUCUCUUCUCUUUUCUGACUUCACUUGGGUUCUGAGCUUUCUCUUAAGCUCAUCCUUCGCAACUUUGUCACUCUACUGCUUUUGA
rnacentral:lncRNA from 1 species